ACACCUGGCCAAAUUUCCUUUUUUUAUGUGGCCAAUACAUACAGGAUUAAGGAUCACCCUAAUGACGUCACUUUAACAUGGAUACUUCCGUAAAGACAUUAUUUCCGAGUAAGAUCACAUUCUGAGGUACUGAGAGUUAGGACUUCAACACAUAUAUUUUUGCCGGGGGGAGAGUUAUAAUUCAACCUAUAAUACUAAUAAUGCUCUUUCUAAAACUGAAAAUAUCUGAGGGUGAGAGAGGAAUACCCUCUAUUCCUUUUUGCAGAUUCAAAACUAAACCUUUCUUAAUUGUGGAAAAUCAAUUUUUGGCAACCAUUGUCUCUUCUGCCUGUGAUUACAGACUCCAGACUUUUCAUAUGAUGCUUUUGAGCAGAGCUGCUAGAUACCACAAUGAGGUCCCAGGGCCAUUGCUACACAACUAGAACAUAGCAGGUCACCGCCACACAUCACAAUAGGCCUAUCCAGGUGACACCACAUCUGCAAACAGAUCCCAAGAAAACCUGAACAUCCUUUCCAGUUUAGCCAGCCAAGAUUUCUCCUACAGGUUUUACAUGACUCUGCUUUGCUCUGGGCAUUGGAGAAUCAGGUGAAGACAACACGAAUUUUGUGGGACCUUGGUUGAUGAUUUACAAUCACAUCAACAUGGAAGAUAAGAGUCUCUAUCACUAUAAGGGCAAGAAUUAUCCCUAUUUCACUCGCCAUUGAAUUCCCAGAACCCAACACGGUGCCAGGAACAAUUGGGAAGGAUGAUGCCAGCAGACUUGAGAUGCAGAAGAGAAAGCGAAAUACCACCUUGGGCUUUGGCUUCAGGAUCAUCAAAGUUGCCAGCAAUGAAACAGAUUUGGAGCCCAGCCAACUCUCAGCUAGAGCCCUGGCACCCGCAUGCUCACUUCACUGAGGAUGGGCUGAUAUCAACGUCUUCACCAGAGAGGAUGUUCUUUUGUUGUCUUGGAAACAGAUGUGUUUGCCCUUUUAGAGGUACACAGAUCAGCAUGCUGCGUCCCUGAAAAAAUAUGCUAAAAAUACAAUAUGCUAAUUUUAGCCCCCAUCCUAAUGUUCCUAAGCUUCAUUUGGUCCUCUGAGACUAACUCAGGCCUCCAAAAGAAAUACCUAUAGUUAGUGAGAACAGGAGAAGCCCAACAAUCCACUCCACUUCUCUCCAAGACUUGACAGUCUAAAUUCUUUGAUGUAGAAAAGCCCUCUGUCUCAAUCUGUUUGGUGCUGCUAUAGAAGAAUACCUGGGUCUUGAUAAUUUGUAAAUAACAGAAAUUUAUUUUCCCAGUUCUGGAGGCUGGGAAGUCCAAGAUCAAGGUGCCGGCAUUUGGUGUACGGUGAGGGCCUUCUUGCUGUGUCCUCACGUGGCAGAGGGCAGAAGAGCAGGAAAGCAAGCUAUUCCCACCAACAAGCCCUUUUAGAGGGGCACCCAGUCCCAUUCAUGAGGGUGCUGCCCCCAUGGCCUAACCACCUCUUCAAGACCCCACCUCUGAAUACAACCACAUUGGCAACACCUAAAUUUUGAGGGGGCGCAUUCAAACCACAGGACCUUCCUUACUGCAAGUGAGCAGAAAGCUGGAAUUAAUUCCUUCAAAAUAUAUAGUUGAGGCAAUCUGAUUUUAUCAUAAUUAAACAAUUUAACUCAAAUGAAUAUGGCAUUAUCCAUGACACAAUGACUUUUAAUGCCAACUGCAUAAUUGUGUAUGCACUUAACAUCUGUCGUGCCAUUUUUCACUCAUUUAUCAACCAUGCAUUGCAGCCUACAAGACGCCAGCAACUGAUGAAUUUUAUUUUUAAAGUAUAUGAUGUUUAAAGAAGGAAAUAUUAAGCAGGAGAAUAAAGAAUGGUGCAAACACUUUGAUUUUUUUUUUUUACCACUUCACAGCAAAUAAAACAGAAACACUGGGGUGAGACCUGGCAUAAAUGGCUUUUAAAAGUUUCCCAAGUGUACCCAGGGAUGAGUUCACUAGUCUAGACAAGGGGGGGAUUAGUUGGUUGUUCUCACUCAUAUGUGGAAGCUAAAAAAUUCGAAUUCAUAAGAAGUAGAGAGUAGAACUGCAGUUACUAGAGCCUGGGAAGGGUAGGCAGGAAGGGAGAUGGGGAGGACUUGGUUAAGGCAUACAAAAUUACAGCUGAAUAGCAGGAAUGAGUUCUAGUGUUCUACAGCACUAUAGGAUGACUAUAGUUAACAAUAAUUUACUUUAUAUUUUCAAAUAGCUAGAAGAGAGUAUUUUGAGUGUUCCUACAACAAAGAAGUGAUAAAUGUUCGAGGUGAUAGAUAUGCUAAUUGCCCUCAUUUGAUCAUGUAUUA